ACGUAGACAACCUGCCGACAGGAUGGGGACAACAUUCCGAGAGGAAUGCUAAUACCGAAUGAAGGGCAGGAGAGGCAUCUUUUCCUGCGUGAAAGAUGGCCUCUAUAUAUAAGCUAUCACCUGUUGAUGGGUCUGCGUCUGAUUAGCUGGUAGGUGAGGUAACGGCUCACCUAGGCGACGAUCAGUAGCCGGUCUGAGAGGAUGAACGGCCACAUUGGGACUGAGACACGGCCCAGACUCCUACGGGAGGCAGCAGUGGGGAAUCUUCCGCAAUGGGCGCAAGCCUGACGGAGCAACGCCGCGUGAGUGAAGAAGGUCUUCGGAUCGUAAGGCUCUGUUGAUGGGGACGAACGUGCCUAAUGCGAAUAGUUUUAGGCAAUGACG
rnacentral:rRNA from 1 species